AUCUUUGGCCAAUCCAAGGUGUGACCAGAGUCCCAAAGUUGACGACCUGUUCUGGAUGCCUGUGGCAAGAGCCCCUCUGUUGGAUUCCCUUUAAGUAGCACUUUGGGCUAUCUGGGUUGUUUGGUGGGAUGACCCAGACCUUCAUCCCCAAGGUGAUGGUCGUGGUGGUUUCCCUUGCUCAUUGAAAGUCAUUGCCGCUAAGUCACUGCUAAGAGAUACCAGUUCCUUCACCUAGGCUGUAGACACAUCCUACCGUACUCGAUUAUCUACUAGCAACCUUCAUCCCUGAUGUUUGUCAGUUACUAUCCCAAUCAUCAGAACCAAUCCUUUCUUUGCCUGUUGGGCCAAGACAUUAGAGAGUCAGGUGGUAAUCACAGAUUCCCCUUAAAGGUGUUCUUGCUGUGACCCUGAAAGAACUGUCUCCACUCCCGUCUCCCGGAGCUGGGACUUACCUACAAUCCCUGAGAGUGCCAGGAUGCAUGAAUGAGAAACAACAAAAUAUGCAGGGUUGCUGGCUGUCGUAAUUGGGGCCACUCCUACACCUGUUGGUCUUCAGACUCCUAUACUGUAGCAGUAGUGGCACUGUUCAUCAUUGGUAAUCGGUUCAGAAUGUGUGCCACAUCCUGGAUUGGAUGAUGGUAUCCAGGCCACAUUCAGUGUUGACCGCCUGGCCGGCACCUUAGUAACCGUUGGUAGGCCAUGUCACCAUCAUAUCAGGCCAGUUAAUCCUGGAUGAUGGGAUGGGACAAGACCAGUGCAUUCCAUAGUCAUGAGCUCAUGGUCACACCUCCUCUGGUGGAAAAGGAGUCCUUCGCUCUGAGGCAGUGCUGUGGGAUAUCACAGGUAAGGCAUUCUGUGAGUCUUUGGGGAUGGUGCUGGCAGAACCAUAGGCAGGGGCCGUAAGGACAAAAUACUGCCCCAUGAUUAAUGGUGCCGAGUUGAUAGCAUCAGUCUGCUGUCCACUGGACAGGCCUUCAGCUAUGGUGGUAACAUGAGUCUUGGUAUAGGAAGUCCUUGCCAUUGAGCCUAUGCUUAGCUGUCAUCCCGGACACUGUUCCCAGGCCUCUGCACAAGGACCGGAUGUGUGAGAAGAGUCUGCCUGGCAGCCAGAGGACGGUCAUCCUGUUGCCAUAUUACUGAGAGCCUUCCCUGUAGUACGUGGUCUCUGGUGGGCUUUCAGUGUCUUUCAGGGACAUCCCAAGUGGUGCUGUAAUGAGGCAGCAGUGGCCCCACAGGCCAUUUCCGCCAACACCCGCACAACAAGCCAACCCGGUUGUGAUUCACUCUGAGUCCUUUGCUCAUGCUGGUUAUUGAUAGGAGCCCCCCAAGAAGCAUGGGAACUAUCAGGAGAGCCAGCACAGGCUCUGCUGGUACCUGAUUCUCGAUACCAACCUAGAGGCAAUGAGAAGUGAGGGGAAGGUCCUGAGGAGGACAAACAUCAUCGUUCAAGGCAUCCACCUCAGUAGGUGAAUGGAUAAACUGUGGAGCACCCAGUGGGAUACUGUUUGGCGAUAAAGGGACUGAGCUACUGAUUCACACAGCAACAUGAAGAAAUCUGAAAUACAGUUUGCUGCUCUCUUCAAUAAAUGGUGUU